UAGGCCAAUGCUGGGUAUCUUGAUGCAUUGAAACAUCUUACGGAUCUGAAAGAUGAAGGUCAUCUUCUUUUACUUCUUUUUCUAUAACCUCAAUGUUGGCAACUUUAUAACUCUCAAGAACUUGAAUCAUUAGAUGUGUAAUUUCAGGAAAAAUUAAGACCGUGGCUCUUACAAAUUUUGAUACGGAAAGGUUGCACAUAAUUCUUGAAAAUGAGAUUCCUGUUGUUAGCAACCAGGUGCAACAUUCACUUAUCGACAUGCGUCCUCAGUAGAGAAUGGCAGAGCUUUGUCAGCAAACAUGAGUCAAACUUAUAACGUAUGGAACAGUUAUGGGUGGGUUUCUAUCUGAGAAAUUCCUCGAUACGAACUUGGCCAUUCCUUUGUCA